UAGUUCACGCUGUAAACGAUGAUCACUCGAUAUUGGCGAUAUACAGUCAGUGUCCAAGCGAAAGUGAUAAGUAUCCCACCUGGGGAGUACGUUCGCAAGAAUGAAACUCAAAGGAAUUGACGGGGGCCCGCACAAGCGGUGGAGCAUGUGGUUUAAUUCGAUGAUACGCGAGGAACCUUACCAGGGCUUAAAUGUAUGUUGACAGGUUUAGAGAUAGACUUUUCUUCGGACAAUAUACAAGGUGCUGCAUGGUUGUCGUCAGCUCGUGCCGUGAGGUGUCAGGUUAAGUCCUAUAACGAGCGCAACCCCUGUUGUUAGUUGCCAGCGAGUCAAGUCGGGAACUCUAGCAAGACUGCCGGUGCAAACCGCGAGGAAGGUGGGGAUGACGUCAAAUCAUCACGGCCCUUACGUCCUGGGCCACACACGUGCUACAAUGGUAGGUACAAUGAGCAGCCA
rnacentral:rRNA from 1 species